UCGUUGUAGCAAUACGAUGGAAAGUUUAGUGGCGAACGGGUGCUUAACACGUGGGCAACCUGCCAGGAAGUGGGGGAUAGCUCGCCGAAAGGCGAAUUAAUACCGCAUGUGAUUAGAGAGGACAUCCUUUCGAAAUUAAAGUCGGGGCAACCUGACGCUUCUUGUGGGGCCCGCGGCCUAUCAGCUAGUUGGUGAGGUAAUGGCUCACCAAGGCUUUGACGGGUAGCUGGUCUGAGAGGACGACCAGCCACACUGGGACUGAGACACGGCCCAGACACCUACGGGUGGCAGCAGUCGAGAAUUUUUGACAAUGGGGGAAACCCUGAUCGAGCGACGCCGCGUGGAGGAUGAAGGUCUUCGGAUUGUAAACUCCUGUCAUUGGGGAACAAUGCACAGAUAUUAACUGUAUUUGUGUUGAUAGUACCCGAAGAGGAAGAGACGGCUAACUCUGUGCCAGCAGCCGCGGUAAUACAGAGGUCUCAAGCGUUGUUCGGAUUCAUUGGGCGUAAAGGGUGCGUAGGUGGCGCGCUAAGUCGGGUGUGAAAUUUCGGAGCUUAACUCCGAAACUGCAUUCGAUACUGGCGUGCUUGAGGACUGGAGAGGAGACUGGAAUUCACGGUGUAGCA
rnacentral:rRNA from 1 species